CUGCUGGUGGUGGAGAAGGGCACACCCGGUUUUCAAGUGACCCGCCGGCUCGACAAGAUGGGCUGGCGUUCCAGCGACACCGCCGAGC
rnacentral:tRNA from 1 species